GGAAGCGUGCCGGAGUGGCUUAUCGGGACAGUCUUGAAAACUGUUAGGGAUGCAAGUCCCUCGUGGGUUCGAAUCCUACAGCUUCCG
rnacentral:tRNA from 1 species